UGUGCCCUGUGAUGUGGGACCUGGGGCACCCAGACCCAGUGGCUCUGCUGUGCCUGCACAACGGGGCAAAGAGAAAGUGGCUCUUUCUACACUCAGUGCUUAGAACAGUGGGCGCUGGGAAUGGCCCGUGGCCUGACACUG